rnacentral:rRNA from 1 species
AGUCGAGCGAUGAACACCUUCGGGUGUGAAUUAGCGGCGAACGGGUGAGGAACACGUGAAGAAUCUGCCUUCAACUCUGGGAUAACUCCGGGAAACCGGGGCUAAUACCGGAUAUGAGCCUCGAUCGCAUGAUUGGGGCUGGGAAGUUUUUCGGUUGAAGAUGACUUCGCGGCCUAUCAGCUUGUUGGUGAGGUAAUGGCUCACCAAGGCGACGACGGGUAGCCGGCCUGAGAGGGCGACCGGCCACACUGGGACUGAGACACGGCCCAGACUCCUACGGGAGGCAGCAGUGGGGAAUAUUGGGCAAUGGAGGAAACUCUGACCCAGCGACGCCGCGUGAGGGAUGAAGGCCUUCGGGUUGUAAACCUCUUUCAGUAGGGAAGAAGCGAAAGUGACGGUACCUACAGAAGAAGCACCGGCUAACUAUGUGCCAGCAGCCGCGGUAAUACAUAGGGUGCAAGCGUUGUCCGGAAUUAUUGGGCGUAAAGAGCUCGUAGGUGGUUCGAUACGUCGGAUGUGAAAAUCAGGGGCUCAACCCCUGACCUGCAUCCGAUACGGUCGAGCUAGAGUUUGGUAGGGGAGACUGGAAUUCCUGGUGUAGCGGUGGAAUGCGCAGAUAUCAGGAGGAACACCGAUGGCGAAGGCAGGUCUCUGGGCCAAUACUGACACUGAGGAGCGAAAGCGUGGGGAGCGAACAGGAUUAGAUACCCUGGUAGUCCACGCCGUAAACGGUGGGCGCUAGUUGUGCGAACCUUCCACGGUUUGUGCGACGCAGCUAACGCAUUAAGCGCCCCGCCUGGGGAGUACGAUCGCAAGAUUAAAACUCAAAGGAAUUGACGGGGCCCCGCACAAGCAGCGGAGCAUGCGGCUUAAUUCGACGCAACGCGAAGAACCUUACC